CUUUUUGCCAUUAUCUGGGCUGCUUUCCUCAGCUUUAAUGGAGAAGAAAAGCACAGAAUCCCAGGAGAGUGCAGUCUGGGAUUUAGGAGGUCCACCCACCCUGCCAUUCAGUUAUCUAUUCAGCAGAUCUCUAUGGAGCCAGGCACCGUGCCAGGCCCUGGAGACUCAGGGGUGAGCAGACCACACUCCCUCUUCCCAGAGCUUGUAGUGUAGAAGGGAAGCUGGUGUUGACUUACCACAACAGAUGUGAAACUGUAGCUCUGUCAUGGGCUGUGCGUGAGGUCUGCUCUAGCCUGGCAGUCAGUGAAGGCUUCCCUGUGGACAAGAUACUCAGCAGAGACCAGAAGGAGGAAUAAUGUUACUGGAGGAAAGAAGGGUGGAAGAAUGCUCCAGAGAACAGCAUGUGCAAAGGCCCUGCAGCCAGAGAGGACACAGAUACAUGAAAAACGUAGAGAAGACUAUUGUGGCUGAGGUGAAGAAUGAAGAUGCAUACAGCGUGUAAAAGGCCUGGAGAGGCAAACCAUGCAAGAUGUGGGGCCAUGAAUCAGCAUAGUCCACUCAUGGACUAUGUGAGGGAAGCCAGCAGCUCCACGACAUCUGAGGGUUCUGUCCUCACGUGCCUGGUUGAAGCUGGAUCCUUACAAUAUCCAUGUCCUUCAGGGGAAGAGGACUGUCCAAGGCAAAUGGCCUUGUCAUGAAUAAGAUGAGAAGAACAAGUCCCUGAGAGGUGCUGUGAUAGAGAACAUGGUGUUGAGGCUUGUGACUAUGAGCGGACCC
rnacentral:lncRNA from 1 species